rnacentral:rRNA from 1 species
UACGAGGGGGGCAAGCGUUGUCCGGAGUUACUGGGCGUAAAGCGCUUGUAGGCGGUCCACCAAGUUUGGGGUGACAGUUGCCGACUUAAUCGGCAAAGUGCCUCAAAGACUGGCGGACUUGAGGGCCACAGAGGGACAUGGAACUCCAGGUGUAGUGGUGAAAUGCGUAGAUAUCUGGAAGAGCACCAAAGGCGAAGGCAGUGUCCUGGGUGGUCGCUGACGCUGAGAGGCGAAAGCCAGGGGAGCGAACGGG